AACGCACUCUAUUAAAGCCGGGUACUGAUGUGAGUGCUCUGGUGUCGGAAGUGUGCAAAAGUAAAUGGAUCGGGGGUUUCGCUAACACCAGAGGACAGCUGUCCUAUGACUGGGGUAUGAGAAGCUCCCGAGCCACAGCU
rnacentral:snoRNA from 1 species